GGAAGGAAGCAUUGUUACUUUACUUCCGGUCUAGGACGGAAGUUGUGCUCGGCCGCUCCGGAUUCCUCUGGGCCCGGCGUGAUGAAGGCCAUCAUCCAACGUGUCACUCGAGCCAGGGUGUCAGUUGGUGAGGAACAAAUAAGCUCCAUUGGACGUGGUAUUUGUGUGCUGCUGGGUAUCUCUGUGGAAGACACGCAGAAAGAGCUGGAGCACAUGGUUCGAAAGAUAUUAAAUCUUCGUGUGUUUGAAGAUGAAAGUGGGAAACACUGGUCUAAAAGUGUGAUGGAUAAGCAGUACGAAGUGCUGUGUGUUAGCCAGUUUACUCUUCAAUGUAUCCUGAAAGGAAAUAAGCCAGAUUAUCAUAUGGCAAUGCCUUCUGACCAAGCAGAAUCUUUCUACAACAGUUUUUUAGAGCACCUUCGCAAAGCAUACAAGCCAGAAUUAAUUAAAGAUGGCAAAUUUGGCGAAUACAUGCAGGUACAUAUUCAGAAUGAUGGACCUGUGACCAUUGAACUGGAGUCUCCUGCAGCCCCUGUUGACUCUAAACAAUUAACAAAACUUGAGAAACAACAACAGAGGAAAGAGAAAACCAGAAUGAAAGUCCCUUCUGAAUCAAGCAGAGAACGAAAUCUUCCUAGAAGUAAAAAUGAUCCAAGUGCAAGCAGUGGGGCUGAAGGGGAUGUUUCUUCUGAAAGGGAACCGUAACUUCUCAAAGCACCUUUAGGUCAGACAUGUCAAACUCGUGACGUUACGUGACGUCGCGCAACGUGGGCCGGCAGUUUGACACCCCUGCUGUAGGUGCUUUAUAUUUCCUUGUGUGCUGAGACAAAUUGCAACUUGAUUUAAAUGAAUGCUGAUGUUUGCAUAAAACAUGGCACUUAGCCCAAGGCAGUGAUUAAAAGAGACACUAUAAUUUGGAAAGAUUGCUGGCUCAGCUCUUAGCUUGUGAUGAAAUCACUAGAUUUCUCCACCUCUCUUUGCAACAUGUGGAUAGCAAUGGUGCUGUUUUACUGUAGAGGAGUGAAAGAGUGACUAAGGAUAUAUCAUUCAGAUAAUAGUUUAAAAUAGAACCUCAACCAACUCUGGGCUACCUUGUCUUGAGCAAGGCUUCCCUUUUGGCUUUUAGUUAAACAUGAACCAUUGUUUGCCAAGAUGUCCAACUUGAUAAGUUGUGAUUAGUACCUGCCCUCAAACCAGAAUUAACUUUCUGAUUCAAGGACAAGUGUUAUUCACAAUUUUCCUAUUCAAACCUCACAGCACAUUAUGAUAUCACAUUAAAGGAAUUUGUGCCUAUGAUGCCAUGGUGCAUAAAAUUGCCAUAUCUAUAACAUCUGAAAUAUUUUGAACAUACAAAAUAUUGUAUAACUGCUAAUCUACUCUUUUUAUUUCCCAAGAAGAGCAAGUCGGUGCUUUAAAGACUGAUUGAUAUGAUUAAAAAAAAAAAUCCAUCUAGUAUCACCAGAUCAAUACAGGUGACACUGCUUGCCUGGCAAAGCUGUCAUCUAAUUGUGUCACUGGAUUGCUGGAACAAUUUAUUUUAACCUUGAGAAGGAAUUAAUUAGCAAAUGUGUGGGCUGAGUAAUAUUUGUCCACAUGAUGGAGCAAUUUGACAAUUACUUCAUGGUGAAUUUUCUGUAAGUCCUGAGACUAUUUUUGGUAAAGGGUCUGACUCACUGAACACUUUGCGCAAUUUUCCUCACUGAGUUCAAUGACAGUUUCAUAAAAUUCUGAAAGGAAGUCAUUCAAUCAAACAGCUUUCCAUGUUUUCAUUUUGAAAAUUGCUUUUGCUCUCUCGCUUCCCAACAUGAAGAUAUUUAAAACAAGCAUACUGGGCAAUGGUAACAUGAUGUCUCUUCAUUUUAAAUCCUUCUGUAAGAGAGUAAGCUUGGAAUAAAUAAGGGGAAAGGGGAAAGAAUGGUUCAAAUUCAAUGACAUAGUAAAGAAAAAAGAAUAUGUUGAAGGAAAAGUAUCCAAAUAUCAGAAUACAGACUGCUCUGAUAGAAGAGGAUGAACUAAGUAUCAUCAAAACUCUAGUGACCACAGAGAUAGACCUCCAGAAUGAUUGGUCCCCAGUCUGGUCUUCAGAUCUUUCAAUAAUGUACCCAUGACCACUGUAAUCAAACUUGGUGCUGAUCAUUUUUUUCUUCUGUUUCCUUCCACCUUUCUCUGCAUUAUAAACUUCUCAAGAGAGUUGGGUCUUCACAUGAUGUGUCCAUAAUACAAAAAAUUGAGUCUUGGAACAGCUUCUACUCAGUGAUAUGUGACGAUACUCUCGUGUGAACUACUCACUUCAAGCCAUGCCACAUUUCAGUUGAGUUAAGGAUGAUAGGUUUGACUCAGCAUUUCAAAGUGAGAAAUUUCUUGUUCUUCAGCACAGCUCUGUUUUCUAUUUACUUUUGUGUUUCAGGAUCAUAAAAGUAUUACAUGGCCCACAUUCAUUUAAGCUUGAAUUCACAGGCUUGAUACUCUGGUCUAGAAUUUGCUGAUACGACCCGUAAUCCAUUGUGAGGGAUUCAUUUCAACCUGAGGAAAGCUCAUAAAACACUACUGGUGACCUUCUGUGCUCAUGAGGUGAGGAUGCUAAAUUUCUAGAUGAAAAAUUAUUUGACCCAGAAGGAGAAUUUGAAUCAGAAGUAAGGAUCUUCAUCAUGCUGUAUUACAAACAACCAAAGGAAUGUUAUCAACGGCCACUGUUAAUAGGUUUUAAAACAAGUUUCUAUUUGGGUCAUUUCUUAUUUGCUGUAUUUUCAUUGCAGAAACUAUGUAACUGUCCCUACCAUAUAGUUAGGUUUCAUAUAAAUGUGAAAUACCCACAUUAUUUUACCAGUGGAUAUGGUUCUUGGCAUAAAUGCUCUCAUCAUGUUCCCCCCUCUGCUCUUCCAGUGGGCAUGAUCAAUCUAUCAGAAGCUAGAGAAGCAGAAUAGAAGUGCAGGUAUUCUCCAUCUUGCAUGCCCCCCCCUCCCAAACAAUCUGACUCCCCAGAGGAAUCCCCAGGCUGUUUUGUAUUUUCCAAGCUGAUGAAGAGGACAGAAGAUAGUCCAUCGUUUGUAUUUUGAGCUGUAUGCUGCUUAGAAUGUCUCUUAAAGUUCAACUCAAUACUUGAAAUGAAAUGUCCCUCAGUAAAGGAUGGGUUAAAUCCUGACAGAAUCUUUUUCCAGCUGAAAUGUGUCGAUGUUUUUCAUACUCUAAAUAUUGCUAGUGUAGUGGGACAAUUCUACCAUAGUUAUUGUUUUAGAAAUCAGUCCUGUUUGUGGAUCUGUACACAGCUCUUUCUGACAUUUUUCUGUGCUUCCUUUCCACACUGCCAGACGAUAUGAGAAGGCCCAUAUUGUGUAGGAGAGAGUCUCCUGCAUCUUCUACCUUCCAAACACUGAAGUGAGGGAUAGUCACAGCAGUAGCUCCUUCUCUGUGCACAAGACUGUUGUGCUUCCUUGGCUCUACCUGAAGGAACAGUGCUGCUGCAUUAGCCCUCAUCUCAUCAGUGGAGGCCUCCAUUACUGAGGAAGAAAAUUUGUUACAUAUGCCGUAGCAGCAUAAAUAUAAUGAAUCUUACAAUCCUUUCAUUAAAAUAAUUUUUCUCUUUUUUUUUUUGUAGGAGCAUGCUUCUAUUUUUUUGUCCAUCUAAUAUAUCUUUUUAGAACAAAGUAUAAAAUGCAUUGUUUGUGUGUUGAGUGUGUCGCUGGCUGUACAAUCUGUGGAAAAAAACUGAAUUCAAGUUAGAUUAAUUUAUCAAUUAUUUAAUUUGUGAACUGUGUGUGUUUAUAUAUGUCUGUUAAAUUUUUUCAAAGGGAAGAACUUUAUUAAUAAAGUACAGCACCUGAACAAUUUU